rnacentral:rRNA from 1 species
UACGUAGGUGGCAAGCGUUGUCCGGAUUUACUGGGCGUAAAGAGCGCGCAGGCGGUCGUACAAGUCGCGUGUGAAAGCCCCCGGCUCAACUGGGGAGGGUCACGCGAUACUGUUCGACUCGAAGGCAGGAGAGGGAAGCAGAAUUCCCGGUGUAGUGGUGAAAUGCGUAGAUAUCGGGAGGAAUACCAGUGGCGAAGGCGGACUUCUCGUGCCUGUUCUUGACGCUGAGGCGCGAAAGCUAGG